UACGGAGGAUGCGAGCGUUAUCCGGAUUUAUUGGGUUUAAAGGGUGCGCAGGCGGGCUGUCAAGUCAGCGGUAAAAUAGCGGGGCUCAACCCCGUCGAGCCGUUGAAACUGGCAGCCUAGAGUGGGCGAGAAGUAUGCGGAAUGCGUGGUGUAGCGGUGAAAUGCAUAGAUAUCACGCAGAACUCCGAUUGCGAAGGCAGCAUACCGGCGCCCGACUGACGCUCAUGCACGAAAGCGUGGGGAUCGAACAGG
rnacentral:rRNA from 1 species